GACGAACGCUGGCGGCGUGCUUAACACAUGCAAGUCGAACGGAAAGGCCCUGCUUUUGUGGGGUGCUCGAGUGGCGAACGGGUGAGUAACACGUGAGUAACCUGCCCUUGACUUUGGGAUAACUUCAGGAAACUGGGGCUAAUACCGGAUAGGAGCUCCUGCUGCAUGGUGGGGGUUGGAAAGUUUCGGCGGUUGGGGAUGGACUCGCGGCUUAUCAGCUUGUUGGUGGGGUAGUGGCUUACCAAGGCUUUGACGGGUAGCCGGCCUGAGAGGGUGACCGGCCACAUUGGGACUGAGAUACGGCCCAGACGCGUACGGGAGGCAGCAGUGGGGAAUAUUGCACAAUGGGCGGAAGCGUGAUGCAGCAACGCCGCGUGCGGGAUGACGGCCUUCGGGUGGUAAACCGCUUUAGCCUGUGACGAAGCGUGAGUGACGGUAAUGGGUAAAGAAGCACCGGCUAACUACGUG
rnacentral:rRNA from 1 species